rnacentral:rRNA from 1 species
CACGUAGGGUGCGAGCGUUGUCCGGAAUUAUUGGGCGUAAAGAGCUCGUAGGCGGUGUGUCGCGUCGGCCGUGAAAACCUGCAGCUUAACUGUGGGCUUGCGGUCGAUACGGGCAUCACUGGAGUUCGGCAGGGGAGACUGGAAUUCCUGGUGUAGCGGUGAAAUGCGCAGAUAUCAGGAGGAACACAGGUGGCGAAGGCGGUUCUCUGGGCAUGAUCUGACGCUGAGGAGCGAAAGUGUGGGGAGCGAACAGG